rnacentral:lncRNA from 1 species
UUUGAAAUUUUGAAAUCCGAAAAAAAAAAUGUAAUAUGUAAGUGGAAACACAUAUUUCAUGAUUUAAAUUAAAUUUUGAAGUCUAAAACAUUCGUUUAAAGUAAAAUUAUAGCUAUUUGAAUAUAAUAAAAACAUUAAAUAAAAUAUUAUAUUUUCUUAAAACACAAUAUUUUCAAAGUCUUCCUAAAAUAACUUUUGUAGCGUAAGAGUAAAAUAAAUUUAUUCAUAUAGUAAUAAAGAUAAUUAAAGUAUGAAAUUUCGUUUACAGUGACACGUGGGCCCCCAACUAACCAAGAAAGUGUAGAGCUACGAACCCUUACUUCCUAUGAUGCAACUCUGAGAUUAAUUCUCGUCUUAAUCAACUAUCAACAAACUAUCCUGAGCCUGAAAAAUGGAUAGGAAGAGGGGUGAGAUUAAAUAAUCCCAGUGAGUAAACAAUUACCAUCAAAAGCAUCUAAAGCCAAGUAGAUAGAUACAAUAUAAAAACGUUAUAUCUCAAUAAUGUUCAUAACACAAAAUUCGUUUCAAUCUAUACCAAAUAAUUUCUUUUCAUCAAAAUUUCCUGGCUUAUGAAUUUCUUAAACUUGGCCCCUGCUAGAAUCAUUCUCGCGGGUACCUUCGUCAAGGUAUCCCACUAAGACCGCCAAGGCUAUUCAAUGACCCAUACCCAUAAACAUAUUUUCACAUCUAACACACAACCGUUCCUUGGCGUUGGCUGAGUCUCACUCUCACGUGGUGGCCCGAACGUGAGGUGCACUCAAAUCAUACCUUAGGAGAUACUUCACCCAACAUCUCCCCCCGGAGGUAAGUAUGUAAUUGAGUUACCGUGCCCUUCUCAUAGGUAGUCCACGGAAAUCCCCAUCACUGCAGUGACCGUUUAAUAUACCACCAGACCCAUAAAAUUUUCAGUAGCAUAAUAUGGCGAAUAAAAUUUAAUCCAGUCUACCGAGACCAAUCCAAAACUGUUCAUAUAUUUCAUGCCAACCCUAAAAAUUUAGCCAUCAUGCUACCAUAGUGUCAUAAGCCAAAAUUUCAAUAAUAUAUAAAAUCAUAAAUUUCAACACAGUCUCCAUAUACUCAAUUUUCCCAAAACAAUAUUUGAUUUCAAAACCAGUAUAAAUCUCAUUUUUAUUAAAAAAACAUUUUGAUUAGAAAACAUAAUAUUUUAUAAUUUAAGCUCACCAUUCAAUAAAAGUAUCAAACAAGUAUAAUUACUCUAGAUAUUUAAGACGAUAAAUUGUCCACUCACAGUUCUAGGAGUCGAUGUACUCCUAAUCCCAAUCUUCAAGCACAAUUUCUGUACUUUUACCAGUGUAAUUUGCUCACCACCUAUCCACAAUGUACAAUACAUAAUUCACCGCAUCAAUGCUUGACCAUUAUAAAAUCAAUUCAGGCUCGAUAUAUAUGCAUGAUAUGACAUGCAACUUAUCCGACUACCGCUUAAAUGCGGUGCUGACCUAAU